rnacentral:rRNA from 1 species
GACAGAGGCCUCGAGCGUUAGGCGGAAUCACUGGGCUUAAAGCGUGUGUAGGCGGGCCCGUAAGUGUCUUGUGAAAUCCCACGGCUCAACCGUGGAACUGCUGGGCAUACUGCGGGUCUUGGGCCAACUAGGGGCAGCCGGAACAAGCGGUGGAGCGGUGAAAUGCAUAGAUAUCUGGAGGAACACCGGUGGCGAAGGCGGCAUCCUGGACCGGUAUUGACGCUGAGGCGCGAAAGCUAGGGGAGCAAACGGG